AAUGAUGUCAUGUUUGCAGUUUCAGAAAACUGAGCAAGCCCGAGAAGCAGUCCCGCAAGAGUGGAGAUGACUUUUUUGUUCAAGCAUUUUGUCAAGGUGGAAGGAUUUACUUCACCAUUGCACUAAUUAGACGUUUUGGAGAUGACUUCUCUGUUUUCUUUACUUGUUUUGAAUGUUAAGGUUUUUGACAUUGUAUGAAUUAUGUUGUAGACGUAAUUUUAUUGCCAGCUUGGUAGAUACUAAUAACAAUUGAUAUGUUGAA